UACGAGAGGUCCAAACGUUAUUCGGAAUCACUGGGCUUACAGAGUUCGUAGGCGGUCCGGAAAGUGGGGUGUGAAAGCCCUCGGCUCAACCGAGGAACUGCGCUCCAAACUACCGGGCUAGAGGAAGAUAGAGGUGAGCGGAACUGAUGGUGGAGCGGUGAAAUGCGUUGAUAUCAUCAGGAACACCGGAGGCGAAGGCGGCUCACUGGGUCUUUUCUGACGCUGAGGAACGAAAGCUAGGGGAGCAAACGGG
rnacentral:rRNA from 1 species